rnacentral:tRNA from 1 species
CUGGAUGUAGCUCAGUAGUAGAGUACAUGUCUAAACAUGUGAGGCCCUGGGUUAGAUUCCCAGCACAGA